rnacentral:lncRNA from 1 species
UCAUUGGGUAGAGGUUUUUUUAACUGCUCAGUUUCUCCAAUCCCAAUGCCUGCACCCCAACCCCAGCCAUUUAGAAAUUGUGAUUAUAUUUUUAAUCAUCUGUUGUUGAGAAACCAGAGAAAGGAACAGUAUUCAGGGAGGGACUUUGGGUUUUCUGUGUAGUUGCUUUGCUUUGCCAAGAGAUUCUCAGUGAGGUGUAAGGUUUGCAGUUAACACUUCUGGGAAACAAAAGUUUCUGUUUCACUCACCCUCAGAUAGGCUUGCUGCUUAUUGGGUGGAUGAGCAGUGGCUGGGAGCCAAAUUGCUCCUCAGGUUAGCUAGCUUUGUGGCUUCAGGUGAUUUGGGAAGGGGUGAUAUCAGGGUGCCAUUUUGGAAUUCUGCAAUGUCUAAGCAUUACUACACAGACCGUUGGAAAUUGCAUACUUUGGGCAAAUGACUUUUUGAGUUUCCAUGGUAAUUCUUUAGUAACUUAUUAGCAAGCUGAUAUGAGAUAAAAAGUUACUUUAUUG